rnacentral:tRNA from 1 species
UGGGGGCUUAGCUCAGCUGGUAGAGCACUUGGUUUGGGACCAAGGGGUCGCAGGUUCGAAUCCUGUCUUCCCGA